UAUAUGGUUUUCUCUGCAUUAAUGUUGUUUGUAACACAGUAAGUCUUUUCAACCACCAUACUUAGUGCUAGGGUUUCUUCUUUCUGCUCAGAAAAGUGUUUUUUUAACAAUUUUUAUAUGUGAUUUUUGCUUGUGAUAUCUGCUCUGUUCCCUACCUCUGUUGGGAAAAUGGAACAAUUUGGUCGGAGUCCCCUCGCCUUGGAGCUGGUUUAGGGGCGGUUUGGGAAAUCAUUGUAUGUGUGUGGGUGGAGUAAGUGUGCCUGCAAGGCAGCACCACUUUGGCCAGUGUUUUACUGCCUCAGGUGCCCAUACUGUGUGGCCAUGUUUUUCCAGACCUGCAGUUUCCAAGGACCGUGUGGCCAGUUACCUAGCUAAUAGACCUGCAUGAAGGGGUCUGGUGACAUAGCCUGGCAUGUGAAGGGUUUGUGACCCAGUCUGUCAAUGGGCUUGAAGGGUCCAGGAGCUCCAGACCGAGCCCUAGCUCAACCAUGGGCCCAGUCAGUACAGGAUUACCAGCAGGUAAAAGAGCUGUGACAAUUAGCGUGGUCACCUAGCUUUACAAUUGGUGUCACAAACAGGACUAAGAGCUAGACAACUGGUGCCAUGAGCAGGAUAUGUGACAUCAGACUUAGCAUUAGCCUCAUAGUAGCCAGACAAAUUGGCGUAGUUGGCAGGAUUACACCAGACUAAUUGGCAUAGUCAGCAGGGUUACACCACAUUUGGCAUAGCCUGUGACAGGACUCUGAGCAGAUACAGGAGCCAACAGCCCUUGGAAGAAGGAGGAAAUGUGGCUAUUUGUGAAUAUGCUGUGCCCUCUGGCCACCUUUCCGUUGACCAGGACCUGGUUGCUGCACACUGCACUGCAAGGCAGCAUAGACCAGGUACUAUGGCAGAAAAUCCCUUAGGAGGGGGAAGAAAUGUGACUGUCUUUGAGCAUGUGGUGCCCAGUGGCCACUUUUCUGCUGACUGGAGCCUGGCUGCUGCUCACUCUGCUGCAAGUUGAUCAAGAUUUGAAGCGGAAAGCAGAGUUGUUCACGGAUGAUGUGAAGCUACUGGCAGAAUCGAGGCAGAAAGCAGAGUCGUUGGAAGCACAGAUAAAUGUCUUGGAGGACAACGUGUGGAGACUGGCCACUCCUGCUCCUCACACCAGGGAAGACAACCAACCCAAUGAUUUAACCCAGGCAGCUCCAAUGCUGCUAAGUCAUUUGGAACAACGUGGGUGAACACAGCCAAAGUGCAAGGACCUGGGCUGUCAGUCAAAUUCCUGGGAGUGGUCUGAUCGGAACAGAAUUGGAAACAACAGCACAAGUUAUAAAGAAACAGAUUUGGUCUCAAUAGGAAAAGAAUCUUUCACAGUAACCUCCUCAAUAAUGGAAAAGAUCAAUUUAUGACAUGGUGAACUCUUAAGUCAGUCACUGGAAUUAUUCACUGGCCCUGGGAUACUGUACAAGGAACUCCUGCUUUGGGUAUGAAGUUGAGUUUCAAGGUCUUUAAAUUUCCUUCUACCUCUAUUAAAGUUUCUAUAAUUCAAAAAA